GUGAGAAGGGCUGCCGUGGAAAGAUGCUCCCUGCUGACGGCUGAGGUUAAAGUGUGACUUCGGGUAGGGGAGAGAUGCUGCCCUGGGGCAGCUGUGCUCAGACAUGUAGGAUGGCCGAGGCAAGCCUGAGCCCAGGAAAGGACCUGGAGAAAUCGAGUGCUUUAGGAUCUGCUGAUGCAAAGAAUGUGAUAAAGAGCAAUUCCCGAGCUCGGCGUGCUGUGCGGUUCGAUGGGGGCCAGGAGCUGCCCCGAGCACCCGCGUUUCCUCGUGGGAGUGGGGAUGGGAUGGGGCGGCCCUCGCUCCAGGGAUGCGCGCCGACCCCGCAGCCGUCCCGAG
ensembl:lncRNA